UACCGCGGUUAUACGAGAGACCCGAGCUGAUAGAUACCGGCGUAAAGCGUGGUUAGAAGUGAGACGAACACUGGAGUCAAACAUAUACAGAGCUGUUAUACGCUCCCGAAUACAGGAAGAACACCCACGAAAGUGACUCUACGACACUUGAACCCACGAAAGCUAAGAUA
rnacentral:rRNA from 1 species